rnacentral:tRNA from 12 species
CGCGGGGUGGAGCAGUUCGGUAGCUCGCUGGGCUCAUAACCCAGAGGUCGCAGGUUCAAAUCCUGUCCCCGCAACAA